rnacentral:rRNA from 1 species
AUAUCGGAACGUACCCCAAGUGUGGGAUAACGUAGCGAAAGUUACGCUAAUACCGCAUACGAUCUAAGGAUGAAAGUAGGGGAUCUUCUGACCUCAUGCUCCUGGAGCGGCCGAUAUCUGAUUAGCUAGUUGGUGAGGUAAAAGCUCACCAAGGCGACGAUCAGUAGCUGGUCUGAGAGGACUACCAGCCACACUGGAACUUAUACACGGUCCCUACUCCUACGGGAGGCGGCGCUGUGGAAUUUUGGACAAUGGGCGCGAGCCUGAUCCAGCAAUGCCGCGUGAGUGAAGAAGGCCUUCCGGUUGUAAAGCUCUUUUGUCAUGGAAGAAA